rnacentral:rRNA from 1 species
GAUGAAUGCUGGCGGCGUGCUUAACACAUGCAAGUCGAGCGGCAGCGCGAGUAGUUUACUACUUGGCGGCGAGCGGCGGACGGCUGAGUAACGCGUGGGAACAUGCCCUAAAGUGAGGAAUAACUGCCCGAAAGGGUGGCUAAUGCCGCAUAUGAUCUUCGGAUUAAAGGUUUAUCCGCUUUAGGAGUGGCCUGCGUAUGAUUAGGUAGUUGGUGAGGUAAUGGCUCACCAAGCCGACGAUCAUUAGCUGGUCUGAGAGGAUGACCAGCCAGACUGGAACUGAGACACGGUCCAGACUCCUACGGGAGGCAGCAGUGAGGAAUAUUCCACAAUGGGCGAAAGCCUGAUGGAGCAACGCCGCGUGAAGGAUGAAGGCCCUCGGGUUGUAAACUUCUUUUAUGAGUGAAGAAUAUGACGGUAACUCAUGAAUAAGCACCGGCUAACUACGUGCCAGCCGCCGCAGUAA